GAUGAACGCUGGCGGCGUGCCUAAUACAUGCAAGUCGAGCGAACAGACGAGGAGCUUGCUCCUCUGACGUUAGCGGCGGACGGGUGAGUAACACGUGGAUAACCUACCUAUAAGACUGGGAUAACUUCGGGAAACCGGAGCUAAUACCGGAUAAUAUAUUGAACCGCAUGGUUCAAUAGUGAAAGACGGUUUUGCUGUCACUUAUAGAUGGAUCCGCGCCGCAUUAGCUAGUUGGUAAGGUAACGGCUUACCAAGGCAACGAUGCGUAGCCGACCUGAGAGGGUGAUCGGCCACAAUGGAACUGAGACACGGUCCAGACUCCUACGGGAGGCAGCAGUAGGGAAUCUUCCGCAAUGGGCGAAAGCCUGACGGAGCAAAGCCGCGUGAGUGAUGAAGGUCUUCGGAUCGUAAAACUCUGUUAUUAGGGAAGAACAAAUGUGUAAGUAACUAUGCACGUCUUGACGGUACCUAAUCAGAAAGCCACGGCUAACUACGUG
rnacentral:rRNA from 1 species